rnacentral:rRNA from 1 species
UACGAAGGGGGCGAGCGUUGUUCGGAUUUACUGGGCGUAAAGGGCGCGUAGGCGGCCGCUCAAGUCAGGCGUGAAAGCCCCGGGCUCAACCUGGGAGGUGCGCUUGGGACUGGGUGGCUGGAGUUCGGGAGAGGAGCGUGGAAUUCCCAGUGUAGAGGUGAAAUUCGUAGAUAUUGGGAAGAACACCGGUGGCGAAGGCGGCGCUCUGGACCGAGACUGACGCUGAGGCGCGAAAGCGUGGGGAGCAAACAGG